CAAGCUCGUAGCACUGCACGCGCCCCGCUUCGUGAGCACAGCCAACAAGCUUUUGAUAACUACGUACGAUGGUUUAUUGGAACUACUCGAGUUGAGAUAUGCCCACCGGCAUAUAAUGAGGAUAUUCUUGAAGAACCUGUAAACUUUGAGGAUCUAGCAAAGGGGAAGUACAACAGAGAUGUCAAGAAAGGGCACGGAGUCCCUGCUGUUCCGGUGAUUAACUAUGUGCGCACCGAGAUCAAGAAAGCAGCCGAUGAGAGCCAGUCUAUUCUGGAGAAGACACCGGUUGGAACUGGCAAUGAUGAUGGCUCACUACGAGCAUUCCUC
rnacentral:rRNA from 1 species